rnacentral:rRNA from 1 species
AUGGUGCAGUUCGCAGCAGCAGACCUCCGCCAAGUUAUGGACAAGAAAAAUAACAUUCGUAACAUGUCUGUGGUUGCUCAUGUGAACCAUGGCAAGUCCACGCUUAUAGAUUCUCUUGUCAUAGCUGCUGGGAUUGUUAGACAGGAGGCUGGUGAUGUUCCCAUGACUGAUACCCGUGUAGAUGAAGCAGAGCGUCGUAUUUCCAUCAAAGCCACCGGAAUCUCUCUUUUGUAUGAAAUGAAUGACGAGUCACUCAAGGCUCACAAGGGUGAGAGCGGACGGAGGGAGUACUUGAUUAACCUUAUUGAUUCACCUGGGCACGUUGAUUUUUCUUCUGAAGUCACAGCUGCUCUUCGUAUUUCUGAUGGUGCUCUGGUGGUAAUUGAUUCUAUCGAGGGUGUCUGUGUGCAAACUGAAAGUGUGCUGUGCCAAGCUCUUGGUGAGAUGGUUAGGCCUGUACUUUGUCUGAAUAAGAUGGACGAAUUAUUUCCUGGGCUUCAAGGUGAAGGUGAGCAAACAUACCAGAUUCUGAACAAUGCCAUUCAGAAUGCCAAUACCAUUGUGGCAACACAUGGAGACGCCCGCCUUGGAGAUGUCCAGUUCUACCCUGAGAAGGGAAAUGUGACAUUCUCUGCUGGAUUACACGGCUGGGCUUUUACGCUGACUAGCUUUGCUAAGGUGUAUGCUCCGAAGGUGGGUGUGGAAGAAUCUUAUAUGGUUAAGAAGCUUUGGGGCGACAACUUUUAUGACCACACCACA